GCCCGGUUAGCUUAGUUGGUAGAGCGUGAGACUUUUAGUCCGAUUUCUACAAAUCCCCUAGUGAUCUCAAGGUCGCGGGUUCGAGCCCCGCAUUGGGCG